GAUGAACGCUGGCGGCGUGCCUAAUACAUGCAAGUCGAACGGUUGGUCGCAAGACCGAUAGUGGCGAACGGGUGAGUAACGCGUUGGUGACCUGCCCUAAAGUGGGGGAUAACAGUCCGAAAGGGCUGCUAAAACCGCAUAAUCUGGAGGAAGACUAGAAAGCUACCAGGAAAGCCGAAAGGCGCUUGAGGAGGGGCCUGCGUCCCAUCAGCUAGUUGGUAAGGUAACGGCUUACCAAGGCGAUGACGGGUAGGGGACCUGAGAGGGUGACCCCCCACAAUGGAACUGAAACACGGUCCAUACACCUACGGGUGGCAGCAGUAGGGGAUAUUGGUGAAUGGGCGAAAAGCCUGAACCAGCAACGCCGCGUGUGCGAAGAAGGCCUUCGGGUCGUAAAGCACUUUUGCACGGGAAGAGGAAGGACGGUACCGUGCGAAUAAGCCUCGGCUAACUACGUGG
rnacentral:rRNA from 1 species